UUUAGGUGCCUGCUAAUUUAUAAAAUGGGAUUUUCUUGAAGGAAAGCAAAAAUAGAGAUUUCCCAAACUGUUGAAAAUUUGCCAGCAGACAGAGAGGAAUUUUCCUAUAUUUUUCACCCUAGGUCUACCUCUGUCCCUUUUUUGGGUAAAGUGACGGUGUAGACUUUCGCCUGAAGCAAAGCGGGCUUGUCACUCACUGCUUCUGUUUCUUCCUGGGCAUCAGGCUGCAAUUCUCAAACUUCUAAACAAGUCACACCUCCUCCAAAAUGUAGUCCCAAGAAGGAAAGAAUUAAGGAUUCUGCAGUCCCUGUCUUCUUCUUCUUUUUUUUUGCCAGAAAAUCAUCUUCAGGUGAACAAACGCAGAAGGUGGAGCAAAAGCCUUGGACCUUGUGAUGAGGAGGCUUUUUGGAGAUGUGACUCUGUAGAAGCAGGCAUCUUGCAGUGUCAGGGGUUUAAAUUAAAGCCGGGUCGGGGAGGGAAAAGGGGAGAGACCAUCCCCGCGCCUGCAGCGUUGACUCCUGGCAUCAUUUCGGUGCAGGGACCCAGCUGACACUUCUUAUUUUGGGUCCUGCCUCCCCAGCAGCAGUCUGCAACUUGCCGGCAUCCUGGCAGGACAGCAGCCGGCAGCCGCUGAGCAGAGGAGAGAGAGAGUCAGCGGUUUCUCUGCUGUGCCCAUUCUCAGCAGAUCUGGUUAAGGAUCAGAAGCUACCUGUCCUCUUAUGCAUGCGAACUUUAGCCCCACACAUGAAAGAUACUUUGAAGUCAUCUGAUGGCAGCCCAAGCUCAGAGACAAGGAUCGUGAAGCCGAGAGGUUAACUGACUUGCCCAAAGGAGACAGGAAGCACAAGGGCACGUCUGUGAGUCCCUGGGAUGUGUUUCAACCAGCACGUCAAACAAGGACAAAGUCAUCAGUGCUGGACCCAUCGAGCACCCUGACUCCAGUGAAACAGGACAAGGUCUCCCAGGCAACCUUGGAAGCUCCGAGGGACUCCAGGUCACUAAGAAGCCUCCGCUUAGCACUUGUGCUCAGCCUAGUGGCCUGAGCACCACAUUCGGUUGCAUCUGCCCAUCUCUAUCUUCCCCUCUGGAUGUCUGUACUAAUAGAUUCUGUUGGGGACACCAGUGCCCACGGGUCUCUGGAAGGUACACGCACUCUCAGGCAUCUCCUGGGGACUGCAAUGCCUUAACUCGAAGGAGAAGUCCCUCCCAGCAAAGUCCCUUUUUGGAGAGAAGGCUGGUGAAGGAGACUGGAACAGCCUGCCAGGCACCUGCAGGCCACCUCCCUGCACACCUGGUGCUGGAAUUGCAUUGGUUUUCACAACUGCUUUGCUUCUUGGCUUCCCCAGCUCCCUGGAGGCCCAAAGCAGCUGCUCUCCCAAGGCGUUCCUACCAAGGAAGGAGACCCAGCUCCAGCAAAGAUGUCCUGUGAGUGCCCUUUAUCUCUUCCAGAUGCUUGCUACACAUGAUUUUCUGAAGGCUGUGCUAAGCAUUCUUUCUAUUUAUAGAAAGAUAGAGGUGAUGCUAACCUGACAAACUAAGGGGAAAGGGGUGAUGGCUGCAAAUACAGAAGUUGGUAGCAUCCGCCCAAAGGGUUGAGGACGGGUGUUGGUGUGGCCGGCCAGAGAAGGGGUUCCAGUAAGUACAGGGGCCUGAGGCAUCACUCAUAAGCGUCAUCCCCAUGGUCCUAUGUUGGAAUGUCUAUAUAUUCUAGGAUCUGGGAGGCUUUCCAGCUCUCUCGUUGACCUCAGCAUUCCUUUGGGGGUAGACUUACUUUAGGUGGGUGGCUCAUUCCACCAAUUACUGUAUCUCUUUAACAUCUGUCCCAUUUCGUGGGGGUCCUAACCUGUCCUUGGCAUUUUUUUCUUUUUUCUGGCCAUGCUUCGCAGCAUGUGGGAUCUUAGUUCCCCAAUCAGGGAACAAAUCCACGCCCUUUAAAUUGGAAGCACAGAAUCUUAACCCCUGGACCUCCAGGGAAGCCCCAUGUCCUUGGCAUUUCUGUAACAUUCCCCACUCAACAACCUCAAAGCCCAGGCAUGGAACUGUGUUCAACCAACCCUCCAAGGAUGACCCUCUCUUCUAUAGGACAAGCCACUUUUCCUUCUGGCAUGGGUUGACUUUUCUUUUUCUUCUUCUUCUUCUUUUUUUUUUUGUUUUCCUUUCUAAUCAAUAGAAUAAGGCAGUUAUCUACAUCAGAAAUAAAAUGCUUCUGGGAAUUCCA
rnacentral:lncRNA from 1 species